UUGCGAAGGCAGCUUUCUGGAUCAUUACUGACACUGAGGAACGAAAGCAUGGGUAGCGAAGAGGAUUAGAUACCCUCGUAGUCCAUGCCGUAAACGAUGUGUGUUAGACGUUGGAAAUUUAUUUUCAGUGUCGCAGCGAAAGCGAUAAACACACCGCCUGGGGAGUACGACCGCAAGGUUAAAACUCAAAUGAAUUGACGGGGACCCGCACAAGUAGUGGAGCAUGUGGUUUAAUUCGAAGAUACGCGCAGAACCUUACCAACACUUGACAUGUUCGUCGCGACUCUAAGAGAUUAGAGUUUUCGGUUCGGCCGGACGAAACACAGGUGCUGCAUGGCUGUCGUCAGCUCGUGUCGUGAGAUGUUGGGUUAAGUCCCGCAACGAGCGCAACCCUCACUUUUAGUUGCCAUCAUUAAGUUGGGCACUCUGAAAGAACUGCCAGUGAUAAGCUGGAGGAAGGUGGGGAUGACGUCAAGUCCUCAUGGCCCUUACGUGUUGGGCUACACACGUGCUACAAUGGUAUCUACAACAGGACGCAAAACGGCAACGUUAAGCAAAUCCCGAAAAGAUACCUCAGUUCGGAUUGCACUCUGCAACUCGAGUGCAUGAAGCUGGAAUUACUAGUAAUCGUGGAUCAGCGUGCCACGGUGAAUGCGUUCCCGGGUCUUGUACACACCGCCCGUCACACCAUGGGAGUUGGUUCUACCUUAAGGCAAGGUUUAAUACCCUUGACCACGGUAUAGUCAGCGACUGGGGUAAAGUCGUAACAAGGUAACCGUA
rnacentral:rRNA from 1 species